GGCAAGAGGAGCCUGUUAACCCAAAGGUUUAUGAGAUUAUAGGAAAAACCUUGGCGUUGCUUUUCCUUUUCAGCCUGAUCGUGUUCUUUGCAUGGAGGAGGAGAACAUCUAGACUCUCCAAUGGGUUUGAAACAACAGACAGUUCAUAGGGACAGAACUCCCCGGUUGGGACGGUGUGCUCUAACCAGGCCACGGUCGGGAGAGGGGACCAGGAACCACCACUUAACUACCUAGAUGGGCUUUAUGCACAAGUGAAUAAAAGAGGUGCAUGUUAAGUAUUUUGCCAAUAGAUAUUAAGUGUUUAUGUAGAUUAAUGUCAUUAUGUAUCAGUUUUCUAUUGGUACUUUAGUUACUUUUAUAUUUGUGUGCUCUUUGAUUAUCUGCAUAUUUGUAGAAUUUUCUGGGAUGAAAAGUGUUUAACUGCUACUAU